rnacentral:rRNA from 1 species
GUUAUAUGGUCAAGUGAAGAAGCGCAUACGGUGGAUGCCUUGGCAGUCAGAGGCGAUGAAAGACGUGGUAGCCUGCGAAAAGCUUCGGGGAGUCGGCAAACAGACUUUGAUCCGGAGAUGUCUGAAUGGGGGAACCCAGCCAUCACAAGAUGGUUAUCUUGCACUGA